rnacentral:rRNA from 1 species
UACGGAGGGAGCUAGCGUUGUUCGGAAUUACUGGGCGUAAAGCGCACGUAGGCGGCUUUGUAAGUUAGAGGUGAAAGCCCGGGGCUCAACCCCGGAAUUGCCUUUAAGACUGCAUCGCUUGAAUCCAGGAGAGGUGAGUGGAAUUCCGAGUGUAGAGGUGAAAUUCGUAGAUAUUCGGAAGAACACCAGUGGCGAAGGCGGCUCACUGGACUGGUAUUGACGCUGAGGUGCGAAAGCGUGGGUAGCAAACAGG